GGACCCGCACAAGCGGUGGAGCAUGUGGUUUAAUUCGAUGCAACGCGAAAAACCUUACCUACUCUUGACAUACUUGGGAGCUCUUGUAAUGAGAGUGUGCCUUUUGGAACCAAGAUACAGGUGCUGCAUGGCUGUCGUCAGCUCGUGUCGUGAGAUGUUCCGUUAAGUCGGAUAACGAGCGCAACCCUUACCCUUAUUUGCCAGCGAUUCGGUCGGGAACUAUAAGGGGACUGCCGGUGAUAAACCGGAGGAAGGUGAGGACGACGUCAAGUCAUCAUGGCCCUUACGAGUAGGGCUACACACGUGCUACAAUGGCCGGUACAGAGAGCAGCCACUUCGCAAGAAAGGAG
rnacentral:rRNA from 1 species